GGGCAUUUUUCAUGGCCUGUUAAUCUGGUGGUGGCUAACGGGCUCCAUUCCAGUGCUCCAGCAGCUCCAGCAACACUGUGGCAGACUGAAUCAUGGCUCUCAGUUUCAGGUCCUGGAGACACAG
ensembl:snoRNA